rnacentral:lncRNA from 1 species
AUACAAGUUGUACAAGUGACAAUGAAGUAUUUCAAUUAAACAGCUGAGAGACAGAUCUGCUUGCUGGAGAUCUUGCCAACAGAUCCAGCCCAGAUGGGCUUCUGCCAGCCAUAGGAUGCAAGGUGUGAAAAAGAUGGAGUGUGUCAUGUAGUGCAAUUCCACUCAGUGCCAGGAGGGGCACAGCUCUCCUGUUUCGCACAGGCUGCCUUCGUAAGUGAGAUCAUUGUGCAUCAGUGCUGCCUUUGGACCUGUGUUGAGGCUGUAUCAUGUCACACUGCGGGGCGGGAGGCUAAAUGAGAAAGAAAAACCCUGUACGUAGGAAAAACUUGCAUGCUCAGCCCUAACUUUCUCCCUGAUGUGCCGAUUAUUCUGACAGUGCUGAAUGCUGGAGGCCCAUUUAUUGUUCCGGCCUUGUUUUUCCUGUCUGUAAAAUGGGAAUAACCACAAGUUUCCAGAGCGGGUUUUGGUGAGUUCAACUGUUCAAGGCAAAGACUUUGCAUUUUAUUUUUGUACAAAGGAGUAAGCAAUCAUGGGGGGGACGGGGGACCACACCUACCUAAUUUGGAGACAGACAGUCAGGUCGUGUAACCACAGCAGUGAUCCAGAGGAGGAAUAACUGCUGGGAGGACUGCAGAGAGAAGAAAACCCCAUGGUGCAUCUGCCUCAGCUGCAACAAAACAUGUCUCUCCUGUAUUGGUCUCUAUAGCCACAACAGGCAUUGUAACCUUCCGAUAGUUUGACUUCACCCCAAAAGCACACUCAUCCAUUGUCUCCCGACAUGUUACAGCCACGAGACGCAUUUAUACUUCCAGAUGUCAUCAGUCAAUAUGGUGGGGAGUGGGCACUUAUGUCCUUGUGUCCUAUCAGCUUAAUUCUCCUUGCACCCCCUGCUUUAUAACAAGGCUAGGGGUCCAGAUCAGGCCUGGGAGCCAGGUCAUUUUCUCACCUGCCCACUGUAGGCCAAAUUUGAUCACCUGACAUCUCAGGUAAUUGUGGCCCCUUAUCACCUGUGCAGCUUGAGAACUUCUUGCGCCUGAUUAGGGAUACAGGCUGGGUCUUCCCACCCUGAUGAAAAAUGGAAUGAAUCUAUUUUAUGAUACGUGAGUCAGGAAGCUGUUUUGAGGCCUGAUCCAGGCUUGAAUGGUGGGAUGUGAACUGAACAAAUGGAUGCUAUCCUGCCAGGAUUCCAUAUGGGCAUUCCAGUGAAGUCUGGUCCAUUCUUGCUGUUGCCUUGAGGUUGCCAUAGGAACAAAGUAGGCUGCCUUGGUCCACCCAGUUCAAUACUGUCUGUAUUGUCUUGCUGCAGGGGUGUAUAGGGUGUUAGGGGAGGGGGUAGAACCUCUAGAGGGGAGGCAUAUUGUGCUCCUUCUGGGGUAAUCUGUCCAUUUUUUGUCCUCGCCUUACACUCAGCUCUCACCUGUGGCUCCCAGAAGCUGUCAGCAUGCAACGGUAGCCACACCCCGGGAAAGGCUUUGAUUGGCUGGCUAAACCAGGUGAGGGUAGCUGAUGGGUCUCAAAACCUUGGUGAGUUGGUGUGGCGUUUGCCCAUUCUUUGGGGAUACGUUUGUGUUGGGGGAGACAAAGGGUUAAUAAGGUAACGGGACCCCUGACCAUUAAGUCCAGUCGUGGCCGACUCUGGGGUUGCGGCACUCAUUUCACUUUAUUGGCCGAGGGAGCCGGCGUACAGCUUCUGGAUCAUGUGGCCAGCAUGACUAAGCCGCUUCUGGUGAACCAGAGCAGUGCACAGAAAUUCUGUUUACCUUCCCGCCGGAGCGAUACCUAUUUAUCUACUUGCACUUUUGACGUGCUUUUGAACUGCUAGGUUGGCAGGAGCAGGGACCAAGCAACAGGAGCUCACCCCGUCGCGGGGAUUCAAACUGCCAACCUUCUGGCCUGAUCGGCAAGUCCUAGGCUCUGUGGUUUAACCCACAGCACCACCCGCGUCCCUAAAGGGUUAAUAGGUUGACCAAUAAGAAAGCCCGGAGGCGGAGCCUACCUGAUUUUGAGGCUCAGCCCAGAGGAUUUGACAGUUAGUUCUGUUGGUUCUCUUUGGGGGAGGGGGGGAUAGAGGAGUCAGAGUGAGUUAGAGACAGGGACAAGCCUGAGAGGGAAUAGAGUGGCAGCAUUUUGAAUAUAUUUUAAAACUCGUUUGUGUUUGAAAUAAAAUUUAAUCUUCAUUGUUAACUUUACCUGACUAAGACUCAGUACUUCACUGGAGAGCCCUGGGUUUCCCCCCACAAAAUUGGUGGCAGCAGAAGAAUAAAGUAGUGGUGUACAAGUCAAUAGUCUGGGAAAUGACCGGGAGCUCUGUACAAACUCCACAGUUGGCGACUUCCCCUACAUGCAAAGACAUGCUCUGGCAGAUGAGACCAAUAGUGGGUCCAAUGAUCAAGAAGAUGUCAAUGUUUAAGUUACCGGUAAAUUAUUUUAAGAACUAUGAUUUGGAAAACCGUUAAAAGGACAUGCAAUGAAAUUCAACCAAGGGGAAGUGAGGAAGUCACUUAAUAAUGUUAAUAAGUGUAAUUUUUAAUAAGGUUAUGAUUUAUGUUUGUUUGUUUUAUGUGUUUGUUUAUAAUGUUGUGAAAAUCAAUUUUAAAAAAUUGGAGAAGAAGAAGAUCAUUUCUGUAUGUGCUGAGGAGGGAAGUGAAGGGCAGAUGGGAUUCGUCAACGUGGGAAGGUAGCCCAUCGAGGAGAAGGAAAACUCUGAUCCUAAACCUCCCCUGCCUUGUGGGAUAUCUUCAGGAGAAGAAAUAGCUAUGGAGUAAACCCAACACAAAUCCCGAGUGGAGUCCCAAAGUUGAGUGACGCCAUGUACACCUACCUCCUGCAGCCAAGUUGGUGCCAAACAUAUUGCUCUGCUUUCCUUUGGACCACAUCAGCGAGGCCAAGACGGGGGUCUUGUCAUCUGGGCAGCCCAGAACCUCCCUACACGCUGCCCAGGCUUGCACCCUGGGGAGGUUACCUUGGUGCUGCUAACGCAGCCUUUUGACUUCACCCCCAGAAGUGCACUCCAUUGUCUCUUGAGAUGGAUGCCAACAAUGUUCUCCAGGAUUGUAGGCAGGAAUCAUUCUCCUACCUGGAGACGCUGCCACAAAUUGAACCUGAGACCUUCUGCAUUCAAAGCAGGGGCUCUGCGCACACAGAGACACCAUAGGGGGCUGCCUUUUCUUUCUUUCUUUCUUUCUUUCUUUCUUUCUUUCUUUCUUUCUUUCUUUCUUUCUUUCUCUCUUUCUCUCUUUCUCUCUUUCUCUCUUUCUUUCUGGCUUUAUUGGCAUAAUUUAAACAGUAAGAUCAUAAAGGAGAAAGUAAGAAAAAUCUAUAAAACACUGGUAGUAUCAAACUGGUAGUAACCACCAUUAAAUAAAAUUAAGAAAUUUUAAAUUUGACUUUAAAAAUCUC